rnacentral:rRNA from 1 species
AUUGAACGCUGGCGGAAUGCUUUACGCAUGCAAGUCGAACGGCAGCACGGACUUCGGUCUGGUGGCGAGUGGCGAACGGGUGAGUAAUGUAUCGGAACGUGCCCAGUCGUGGGGGAUAACGUAGUGAAAAUUACGCUAAUACCGCAUACGAUCAAUGGAUGAAAGCGGGGGAUCGCAAGACCUCGCGCGAUUGGAGCGGCCGAUAUCAGAUUAGGUAGUUGGUGGGGUAAAGGCCCACCAAGCCAACGAUCUGUAGCUGGUCUGAGAGGACGACCAGCCACACUGGAACUGAGGCACGGUCCAGACUCCUACGGGAGGCAGCAGUGGGGAAUUUUGGACAAUGGGCGAAAGCCUGAUCCAGCCAUUCCGCGUGCAGGAUGAAGGCCCUCGGGUUGUAAACUGCUUUUGUACAGAACGAAAAGGUUUCUACUAAUACUAGGAGCUCAUGACGGUACUGUAAGAAUAAGCACCGGCUAACUACGUGCCAGCAGCCGCAGUAA